AUGAAUGUGGAUUCUAGCUUCCAGGUGAACUCGAAUGAGAGAUCUAUGGGUCUAGUCCUACGUGACCAUUCUGGAUCCUUGAUCAGAGGCCAAGCUUUAUGGUAUGGGCAAGCUGAAAAUGCUUUGAUUAUGGAAGCUUUUACUGUUAGGGAUGGAACUAAACUGGCUUGCGAUCUAGGCCUCGGUAACAUCACAAUAGAAACUGAUGCGAGAGAGGUAGUCAACCUCUGGAGGACUCGAGAGCAGGAAAGAUCAGAAAUUGCACCAAUUCUCCAAGAGAUUGAAGAGCUCAGUAGCAACUUAGAAUUUUUCCAACUGAACUUCAUUGGUAGUGGAGCUAAUGAAGGGGCACAUCUUUUAGCUAAGCAUGCUUCUUCGAUUAGAAGGAGAUGUUUAUGGAUCAACUUUGUUCCUAGGUUUCUAGUUGAAUGCCUGUAG
rnacentral:rRNA from 1 species